rnacentral:rRNA from 1 species
UGGGGAAUUUUGGACAAUGGGCGAAAGCCUGAUCCAGCAAUGCCGCGUGUGUGAAGAAGGCCUUCGGGUUGUAAAGCACUUUUGUCCGGAAAGAAAUCCUUGGCUCUAAUACAGUCGGGGGAUGACGGUACCGGAAGAAUAAGCACCGGCUAACUACGUGCCAGCAGCCGCGGUAAUACGUAGGGUGCAAGCGUUAAUCGGAAUUACUGGGCGUAAAGCGUGCGCAGGCGGUUUGCUAAGACCGAUGUGAAAUCCCCGGGCUCAACCUGGGAACUGCAUUGGUGACUGGCAGGCUAGAGUAUGGCAGAGGGGGGUAGAAUUCCACGUGUAGCAGUGAAAUGCGUAGAGAUGUGGAGGAAUACCGAUGGCGAAGGCAGCCCCUUGGGCCAAUACUGACGCUCAUGCACGAAAGCGUGGGGAGCAAACAGGAUUAGAUACCCUGGUAGUCCACGCCCUAAAACGAUGUCAACUAGUUGUUGGGAUUCAUUUUCCUUAGUAACGUAGCUAACGCGUGAAGUUGACCGCCU